rnacentral:rRNA from 1 species
GGGGAAUUUUCCGCAAUGGGCGAAAGCCUGACGGAGCAAUACCGCGUGAGGGAGGAAGGCUCUUGGGUCGUAAACCUCUUUUAUCAGGGAAGAAACAAAUGACGGUACCUGAUGAAUCAGCAUCGGCUAACUCCGUGCCAGCAGCCGCGGUAAUACGGAGGAUGCAAGCGUUAUCCGGAAUUAUUGGGCGUAAAGCGUCCGCAGGUGGUUUUGAAAGUUUGCUGUCAAAGCGCGGAGCUUAACUUCGUACCGGCAGUGAAAACUCCAAGACUAGAGUUUGGUAGGGGUCACGGGAAUUCCCAGUGUAGCGGUGAAAUGCGUAGAGAUUGGGAAGAACACCAGCGGCGAAAGCGCGUGACUGGGCCUGAACUGACACUCAUGGACGAAAGCUAGGGGAGCGAAAGGGAUUAGAUACCCCUGUAGUCCUAGCCGUAAACGAUGACAACUAGGUGUUGCCCGUAUCGACCCGGGCAGUGCCGUAGCCAACGCGUUAAGUUGUCCGCCUGGGGAGUACGCACGCAAGUGUGAAACUCAAAGGAAUUGACGGGGGCCCGCACAAGCGGUGGAGUAUGUGGUUUAAUUCGAUGCAACGCGAAGAACCUUACCAAGGCUUGACAUGUCGCGAACCUUCUUGAAAGGGAAGGGUGCCUUCGGGAGCGCGAACACAGGUGGUGCAUGGCUGUCGUCAGCUCGUGUCGUGAGAUGUUGGGUUAAGUCCCGCAACGAGCGCAACCCUCGUUUCUAGUUGCCAUCAUUGAGUUGGGCACUUUAGAGAGACUGCCGGUGACAAACCGGAGGAAGGUGGGGAUGACGUCAAGUCAGCAUGCCCCUUACGCCUUGGGCUACACACGUACUACAAUGCUACGGACAAAGAGCCGCAAGUUCGCGAGGACAAGCAAAUCUCAUAAACCGUGGCUCAGUUCAGAUUGCAGGCUGCAACUCGCCUGCAUGAAGGCGGAAUCGCUAGUAAUCGCAGGUCAGCAUACUGCGGUGAAUACGUUCCCGGGCCUUGUACACACCGCCCGUCACACCAUGGAAGUUGGCCACGCCCGAAGUCGUUACUCCAACCGUUCGCGGAGGAGGAUGCCGAAGGCAGGGCUGAUGACUGGGGUGAAGUCGUAACAAGGUAGCCGUACCGGAAGGUGUGGCUGGAUCACCUCCU